CGCGACCCCUUUCGUGCUCCCUUGACAACCCUGGCCCCACCUCCACCUGGCGCCCACUCGAAUCCGCCCCUCCCUUCUACCCCCCUGGACCGCCAGACCCCCCGCUUCUGCACCCACUCCCGCCUUCGCCCUUCCCUCCUUCCUCCUCCUCCUCUGCUGCCGAGCGCCCUCUCUUCCCACUCCCUCUCUGUGUAGAAUCACAGGGAGUGACCUUGAGCCGAGAGGGCCUACCUCAUUUUACAGGAGAGGAAAUCCAGCUUCCAUUGAGUGAGACUCUUUUAUAAAUAACGUAAAAGAGUGUGUGAAACUGUGGAGGCAGGCUGUUGUAGAUAGGCGGUCGGAAAAGCUUUGAAGAGAUGGCAUGUGUGCUGAGUGCUUAAUUAGAAUAUGGAAGAGAGAGACAUGGGCCCUUCCUAUGUCCAGUUUUAGGAAAAGGCCCUAAAACUGGAGGUUUGGCAUGUUUCAAGAAUGGAAACAGAGGACAAAAACGUUCGAGUCCCCUCCCUGAGAUGCCUGAGGCUCGGACCCCACCAGGGAUGAAGGCUGCCGCCAGCGUGUGUUGCAGUUCCUGCGCCGCACAGAAGGGGGCGCCAUUCCUGCAUUAUUUCUCCCGACCUAACUCCGGUAACGCAGCUCCUAGUUGUAGGGCCUAUCUUAUAUUCGUUUUACAGUGUUUAUUUUUUUUCUUUUUUCUUUUCUUCUUUUCUUUUC
ensembl:lncRNA novel transcript, antisense to AK3